rnacentral:rRNA from 1 species
CCUACGGGGGGCUGCAGUGGGGAAUAUUGGGCAAUGGGCGCAAGCCUGACCCAGCAACGCCGCGUGAAGGAAGAAGGCUUUCGGGUUGUAAACUUCUUUUCUCAGGGACGAAGCAAGUGACGGUACCUGAGGAAUAAGCCACGGCUAACUACGUGCCAGCAGCCGCGGUAAUACGUAGGUGGCAAGCGUUAUCCGGAUUUACUGGGUGUAAAGGGCGGGUAGGCGGGAAAGCAAGUCAGAUGUGAAAACCAUGGGCUCAACCUGUGGCCUGCAUUUGAAACUGUUUUUCUUGAGUACUGGAGAGGCAGACGGAAUUCCUAGUGUAGCGGUGAAAUGCGUAGAUAUUAGGAGGAACACCAGUGGCGAAGGCGGUCUGCUGGACAGCAACUGACGCUGAGGCGCGAAAGCGUGGGGAGCAAACAGGAUUAGAUACCCCAGUAGUC